rnacentral:rRNA from 1 species
GAUGAACGCUGGCGGCGUGCUUAACACAUGCAAGUCGAACGAUGAUCCGGGUGCUUGCACUCGGGGAUUAGUGGCGAACGGGUGAGUAACACGUGAGCAACCUGCCCCUGACUCUGGGAUAAGCGCUGGAAACGGCGUCUAAUACUGGAUAUGUCCCGUCACCGCAUGGUGUGCGGGUGGAAAGAUUUUUCGGUUGGGGAUGGGCUGGCGGCCUAUCAGCUUGUUGGUGGGGUAAUGGCGCACCAAGGCGUCGACGGGUAGCCGGCCUGAGAGGGUGACCGGCCACACUGGGACUGAGACACGGCCCAGACUCCUACGGGAGGCAGCAGUGGGGAAUAUUGCACAAUGGGCGGAAGCCUGAUGCAGCAACGCCGCGUGAGGGAUGACGGCCUUCGGGUUGUAAACCUCUUUUAGCAGGGAAGAAGCGAGAGUGACGGUACCUGCAGAAAAAGCACCGGCUAACUACGUGCCAGCCGCCGCAGUAACAC